rnacentral:lncRNA from 1 species
AUAUCAAGUGGAACACACUUAUAUGUUCCUUAAGCUUUCUAUUGUCAUAAUUAGCAUUACAUUUUUCUGGUGCUUGGCUAGAUUCUUUUCUUGAGCAAUAACGGCACGGUUCCCUACUUUCCUUUUCUAUGUCUAAUACAAAUGGAAACUCAUGGUGUUAUCAUAUGUAUCAUUUUCCCCUAAGUUUAAUCUUUCAAACAAAAUUAGGUUGUUCAAUCAGGAAUACUCACCAUUGUUUUGUUUAAUAGUUUUAACAAAAUGAACAUGAAUUUUUAGUGCUUUACGCUUAUUUUCUGUUGUUCUAAUCGUACUUUAUCUUUUUCUUCUACUGAUAACAAUACAUAUCUUUUUCUUGCCUUUUGAUUCCCAAAUUGCUUUUUAGCAUUAAGUUUUUCAAUAUUGUUUGUUUGAUCCAUCCUAAAUUUCAACCCACAAGCCCUAAACUUAAACAUAGAAAAUUUAUAUAUAGCAUUUGUUUGCUUGACUACUACAACUAAGAACCAUUAUUUCGAUCAAUACAUGCAUCUACAAAUAAUUAGAGAGCAAAUUAAUUUUCCUCAUUACAAACACUAACUUGUAUCAAACAAUU